UACGAAGGGUGCAAGCGUUAAUCGGAAUUACUGGGCGUAAAGGGUGCGUAGGCGGUUGUUUAAGUCUGUCGUGAAAUCCCCGGGCUCAACCUGGGAAUGGCGAUGGAAACUGGGCAGCUAGAGUGUGUCAGAGGAUGGUGGAAUUCCCGGCGUAGCGGUGAAAUGCGUAGAGAUCGGGAGGAACAUCAGUGGCGAAGGCGGCUAUCUGGGCUGCAACUGACGCUGAGGCGCGAAGGCUAGGGGAGCAAACAGG
rnacentral:rRNA from 1 species